rnacentral:tRNA from 1 species
GCGGAUUUAGCUCAGUUGGGAGAGCGCCAGACUGUGGAUCUGGAGGUCCUGUGUUCGAUCCACAGAAUUCGCACCA